AAGUCGUAACAAGGUUUCCGUAGGUGAACCUGCGGAAGGAUCAUUAUCGAGUCUUUGAAAGAAGUUGUAGCUGGCCUUUCGGGGCAUGUGCACGCUUCGCUCAAAUCCAACUCAUUUAUUACACCUGUGCACAUAUUGUAGGAUGGUUGAUACAGGGGAAGAACUUAGGUUCCUCUCGAGUUGUUGACGCCUUCCUAUGUUUCAUUUACACACUCAUUGUCGUAUUAUGAAUGUUUUUUGCGCUUAAAUAACGCAUUAUAUAUAACUUUUAGCAACGGAUCUCUUGGCUCUC
rnacentral:misc_RNA from 1 species